ACUACGAACCUAGCGACCCGGGUUCGAUUCCCAAACACCGGUGACGAUUAUCUGAACCGGUCCUGGGCCUCCCCUAGGUCGACUCAGCCUCAAAUGAGUACUUGGUGCGAUGUGUAAACAUCUCUGCUAGGGAGACAAAGGCAGCCGGGUUUGGUGUUGGCCACCCACCCCCUCGUGUGCCACAGUGCUGGCCUUCAUAGGUGCUCGCUAACAGCACUUGCCCCUACAGUCUGUCAAGGCUAUAUGGGGAUCUUUGUCUUUGUAGUGGUUAGUACACUGCGCUACGAACCCGGCGGCCUGAGUUCGAUUCCCGCUCACGGCCAACGCCAGUGGCGAUUUUCUGAACCGGUCCUGGGCCUCCUCUAGGUCGACUCAGCCUCAAAUGAGUACUUGGUGUGGUGUGUAAACAUCUCCGCUCGGGAGACAAAGGCGGCCGGGCGUGGUGCUGGCUACCCACUCCCUCGUGUGCCACCGUACCGGCCUUCACAGACGCUCGCUAACAGCACUUGCCCCAGCAGUCUGUCACAGGCUACACGGGGGACCUUUGUCUGUGUGCGUGCAGGCGUUUUCGGUGUCCAAGGAGCUGGUUCCCCGCGUGGUGUCCCGCCUGGUGGAGGCGGUGGCCGAGGAGAUGGCGCGCCUGCUGCAGUGCGUCGCCUGCUUCAGCACACACGGAGCCCUGCAGGCUCGGCUGGAGGUGAGUGCCCUGAGAGACGCCGUCGACUCCUUCCAGACCCCGAGCUCCAGGCAGAGCUUCUCGCAGGCCUUGGCUCAACUCCACCACGUGCCCAGCG